rnacentral:misc_RNA from 1 species
CAGAGUUGCAAACUCCCUAAACCAUUGUGAACCGUACCUUCGUAUCGUUGCUUCGGCUGGGCGGCUCCAGGCGGCCCGCCCGAAGCCCUCACGGGCGCCCGCCGGAGGACUACCCUAACUCUUUAUCAUUAACGUGCCUCUCUGAGUAUUCUUUACUAAUAAGUCA